AGGAAAUAUUGGAAUAAACGGCAGCUCGUUGUGUACGAUGGACGCUUUGUACGAACAGAAUCUGGGCACUCACAGAGUUAAUACACAGCAUCAUACUAUGAUACCUCCCCUUACGUAAUUCAUAUUACAUUUAGCGGUUUGCUUACCUAUGAAUAUUUAUAUCUGAAUAUUGUAAUCCCUCAUAAAUGCUUCCUCGGUUAAUGCCUUAGAAGGGCUUAUUAUUCAUUUAAAGAGUAGUGUAUUAAACGGACAUCCCAGGCACUAGGCUCCCGAUAUCUGGAUAUUCUCUUAUUAUAACAUCAAAUUAAUUAAUCAGAAAUCACAUACACCUUGGGACACUUUAUUACCCAACCGAGUGGUACAUAUUAUAUUGACUUUACAUUUACACACACUGACACCCCCCACAAAUACACACACUGACACUCCCCAAACACACACACCCACAAACACACACACUGACACUCCCCACAAAUACACAUACUGACACUCCCCAAACUUACACAUCCACACAAACACACACACACUGACACUCCCCACAAACACACACAAUGACACUCCCCAUAAAUACACACACUGAUACUCCCCACAAAUACACACACUGACACUCCCUAAACUUACACACCCACACAAACACACACACUGACACCCCCCACAAAUACACACACUGACACUCCCCACAAAAACACACACACUGACACUCCCCAUAAAUACACACACUGACACUCCCCACAAACACACACACUGACACUUCCCAAACAUACACCCACACAAACACACACACUGACACUCCCCACAAAUACACACACUGACACUCCCCACAAAUACACACACAC